AUAUCAUCGACGAACGUACGUAAGAGGAUGAACUGGAAAGUUCCCGAUAUAACAGGAAUUGCGUGCAUGAUAUAUUUAUUGAAGUCUUACGAUUUAUAACUUGGCAGAUAAGCAGCUUUUAUUGCUCUCGUUUUGUAUCGUCCUUCGAUUCUGUUAUUCGCGUGUCAAUACUUGGAGACUUCCGAAGACAAGUUUGAUUGCUGAUAAAGAAGAUUGGUGAUAUAACCGAAAUUCCGACGUCGUCUAAUCGACUGGUCAAUUUUUUCAUGCAGAGCACGUCGGUGUCCCCGAGAAGAGACGGAAGUGACAGGGAGGCUCGAGUAAUCGGUCGCGACCACCUAUGGCGGCCGCGAGCUUUCCACCGAAUUUCACGAACGUCGGCGUCAUAGAGAACUGCCCCACCUCGAGCUCCUUGGAAUCGAUACGGUAUCGGGCUCGACAAUGGGGCCAGAAACUCGAUGGUACGACGAAGGACGAACUUUGCUAACGAUCGCGUCGGACGAUAUCUCUGCCAGGAGAUAUACCUCAAUGACAUGAUCUCGUGGCUGUGCCGUUUACAAACAGAUUCGUAAUAAAAGACCUCUUUAGCGCAGAGCUUUGCUCUUUGAGCUUUGUCACCUUUCCUUUCUUUUCGAUUCGAUACGACCGCAGUAAGAGAGAGAGAGAGAGAGAGAGAAUGGAUAAAAAUCUGAUAAAAAGUGAACAAAAUAAUGUUGGACAGCCAACGAUUACGUAUUUAUAAGCACGUGUCGCAAGUAAGUGGUGGAUAAAAUUACGCAAAGCAGCGGAAAGCGAUAAGCGCGCGAGAAAGAGAGGGAAAAUGCGAUAAGAAGGAAAAUCUCGCAAAGUCUCAACGGAGAGCAAGCGAGCGAGAGAGAGAGAGAGAGAGAGAGAGAGAGAGAGAGAGAAGGAAGGAUGGAAGUUAAGUGAGUGUUCCGGCAACGAAGGGUGAGGUCGAACGAGACUAAGGGUGAGAAGAGUAUGUAGUGGUAGUAGUAGUAGUAGCAGUGGCAGCCAGUAGUAAAGACCGGCUCGUGUCUGGCACGCCGUACCACCCGGUGCAACUCGUCGUGACGAGAAUACGUUCUACUACCGACCAGAGAACCAUUUUCGAUCUCUCUCUCUCUCUCUCUCUCUCUCUCUCUCUCUCUCUCUCGCUCCCUUCCUCUUCAAAAGGAUGAUCAACCGAGCGCCAUUUUACGUUUUACAGGUUAACAUUUACUUAAUCGAAUCCUCGAAAUGUUACGAAAGAAAUUUUUUUCCUUCUCAAAAAUAUAAGACUUUUAAAGAACUAAUGUUAAUUAGUGCGUUGCUAGCGACUAGUAGGAGAGUAGAUGCGGUUGUAAAAAACAAAGAUCCUUUUACACGUAACAGAUUUCUCGUGAAAACUAUGUAGUCAAUUCUUUCCUGUCACGUAGCUACCUGUUAUUCGCGUUUGCGACGCGAGAAGAGAAUGAUAAAAUGAAUCUUCGUAAGUAAGAGGCCUUUCGGGCUCGUAGCCUCGAGGUGAGAAUGUUCCGAAGUAGUAGCUAGCUCGCGCUCGUUAUUUUACAGUACUUACGACUUUCUCUCUCUCUCUCUCUCUCUCUCUCUCUCUCUCUCUCUCUCUCUCUCUCUCUCUCUCUCUCUUCGAGCCACGAGAGAGAACAGAGUUUACGCUCGGUAAGUCACGGAAUUUAUGGGAUCGCAGAAUUUAUAGUUUCAAUUUCCGUGAUAUUCAAACGGCGCUAGCUGCCAGUGGCGAUCGCUUAAAAUUCGAACUCGACUGCGCCUAUUAAUCGUUCCUUCAUUUUCGAUAUUCCAAUGCGAGUUAAUGCUCGCAAAGAUAGUAAGCCCGUAAUUAUCUUUUUUCUCUGUAAAACGAGAAGAGAUCUUUCCUAUCGGUUUUCACCUCUGUCCGACGUAAACGAUACGUUUGAUGAAACAUGGAUAUUUUUUAUGUUCGUCCGUUACUUAUGUUCCCGUUCCGUGUAUUAAAGAAAAGUUCCAUUUGGUGAAAUUGCAAACGGUCGGCUUUGUCGACACAAAAUCGUUACCGCGUUUGUUUCAUUCCCUUCUUCCAUCUCUCUUUCUCUCUCUCUCUUGUACGACCCGCAGCACUUGUUAAGAGCUCCCUCGGAUGAGUUCCUUUGUAAAAUAACCCAGAUAGCUUUCACCGAGGCCGAGUUACACGGUUUAACGAUCGCGGCCGAAUGUGCGUGGCCGAUGUAGUUGCGGCAUCUAUCUAUCCUACGCGCGUAUACGUAUGAGAACGCGAAAAGUGCAGCGACGUGCACUGGAACGUUCUAAUCGUUCUGUAAUAGGUAUGUCAUUUUUUAGAUAGCUCUCUAGUAUCUUUGUAAAUUGAUCGCGAAAACUUUGCUACUUUGCUACUUUGGUACUCUCUCCGCGCGUUAGUCCGUCUACCGGUUCGUUGCUCCUCGGCGACGCGAUAGACGAGGUAAAUUGAAUUUGCGUAAUAAAGUUGCUACGACCGCACUGCCGUCCUCAUCCUCCCUAUGCAUCGGGGAGUAUAUAUAUAUAUAUAUAUAUACAUAUACAGCGAGAAUAUAAAGGGAAACACGUGGCUAGAGGGUGAACGACGCGAUUCCAGUCUCUAGAAGGACAGGGAAGCACGAUGAGUGCCGUCGAACGGGUCACCCCCAGGUGUCUCCUCUCUUUCUCUCUCUCUCUCUCUCUCUCCCUCUCUCUCGAACGAACGAACGAAUCCUCUUAAAGGGAGCUCGUAUUGCAGAGAGGAAACACAGCGAGUGAACGCUUCCUGCUUUUUGUUCGCAACGACUCGAGUGGAAUUCGUUUCGCGCGCGCGCGAUUUUUACAUUCCGCUCCGACGUCUUUCUUGCCCCGUUCGAUCGACUUUUCCAUAUGUAUGCGCCCAUUUCGCGGGAAUCUUUAAUCGGAAUAGGUACGAUCUCGCGACGGCGUUGAUUUCAAAGUAGAAAAGUUAUACUCUCGUUGAGAAUCGAGCUUUUAUUUCUUUCUUCUCUUUUUUCGCUUGAUACAACGUAACCGCAUAGAGUUGCGUAUAUUUACCGAAUAAGGUCAACGCAUUCACCUUGAGACGUUCCUCGCACGCUCGGAAUCUGUCCGACGAUUUGGAGGUUGGCCAGCUAUUUCCGAUCGUGACCUAUCGGCUUACCGUGUGGUCCACGAAAGAAAAUGGAAGAAAGAAAUGGACGGAGGGAAAAGGAAAGAAGGAUAAAAAAAAUAUCCGACGUUGAUUGGCUGGCUCGUAGAGUAGUUCGUCUAAGAGACGUUGCGAUAUAUCUCGCCGAGAGAUAAUAAUUCCGUCGAACGUUCUCCUACGAGCGCAUAAACCCACGAACUGUAUGCGUCUUACGGUUGCAUAACUCAUGGCGUCGACCCACCGCCGUCGCUUUACCGGUUUCGCCCCACGUACUUGGUUAUUUACUCUUUGCACGAACGCUUACCACAUGUAACGAACGCUUGCUUCCCUCUCUUUUCUUUUCAUAUCUUCUUUUUUUCUUUUUUUCGCGAACACGUGCCGUCAUCUCCUUCGUCGUCCGACGAAGCGUUAACGGUCUCGUAGCGGUCGCAAAGUCUCGAACGAAUAAAAUCUGAUUUCAUCGUUUUGCGUUUACUCUUUCCGUUCGCGAAAAAUGUUUCAUUAAACGAUCUCCACGGAGCGAGCGAGAUUUCCCGUGUAAAUCGCGCGCGCGCGCGCGCGCGCACGCUUUCGUUCGCAAACAUAUACACGUACAAAUAUAUCUAAUUAAUUCUAUCAAGCUUGCAAACAGCUUACCGACCGAAGGGACGCGUCAUAAUUUUGGCCAGUGCCGUCGCAACGGAUUAUAGCUUGUUUAACGAUACAGGGUCCUCUAUCGAAGGGCAGAGGUACUACGAAUUAUUGGCACGCGUCGAUAUUCCCUAUUACGAUCGAACGCAUUCCAAAGAAAUAUUACGUUCGUUUCGCCAUAGUCGAUAGAUCGUUUAUUAUUAUAUCGAAUUUAAAGCGGCUCGUUAUUUUCAGAUAACAAUCGUGCCGUGGGAAAAUGGCCAUUGGUAGAAAAAUGCGAAACGUUCGUUAGCAGUUCGUGUAUACGAUGAUCGCUCGGCUUUUAGCUCUUAAAAUAAGACACUUGUCUCGUUUCGAAAAGUCCCUUUGUCAUUGAUCGUAUCAACGUUGCUCCAACGAUAACGGCCAUUUUUAGAUUCUGUGAAAAAAAGGAGAAGGAUAUCGAGUCGGAAAAUGUAUUAAAAGUCGCAACAAACUUCGAGAAGAGAGAGAGAGAGAGAGAGAGAGAGAGAGAGAGAGAGAGCCGUUAGUACGCGUAACGGCCGUCGUGCGUUGGAGGGUGCGCUCACGUCCCGCGCUCAUCCCCCCGCAUCCUUUCGACCUAUCCUAGGGGCGCCCCCUUCUAACCUCACCCCCGCUCAACGUCCGGUAAACGUAUUCAGCCAACGAGCUACGUUCCCCCUCCCUCGUGACAGCCGGCGCGGCGCCACUGCCGCCUAGCCGGCGAGGCAGGAGCUACCCCCACCACUCGAGCACCGGCAGUCGGUGCGAGUGCAUAGUCGACGCAUAUCGUUGAGAGAGAGAAGCAGGGACGCGCGUUUCCUUCUAGUUUUCUUCUUGCGUUCUAAGACCGUACGCGCGCGCGCGCGCGUGUCUAUAUAAUAUAUAUAUAUAUAUAUAUACGCACACACAUAUAUAUAUAUAUAUGUGUGUGGUCUGUGUAUGGUGUGUAUGUGUGUGUGUGCGUGCGUGCGUCCGUCCUUAGGGCGAAGCAAGCAACGAUCGGUCCUCGAUUUUACCCGAUAACAACGAGUCACUUACUCACCGUGGUCGCCGCGGUCCUACCUUUCGAGAAAGUCAACGAGAAUCGAAAUAGAGAGAAAUUUGGCGCGUCCUCUCGCGCACGCGUGACACGAGAAAGAAGAAGAAGAAGAAGAAGGCCUCAAAGGAUAGGACGAGAAAGAGAAGAAAGAGGAAACGGAUAAAGAAGUAAUAUCCUAAAAGUGGUGUGACCGUGCCUCGUGUACUUCCUGCCUAUCUGUGAAAAAAGACCGAGGAGCAAGAGAGAAAAGUACGUGCGGCAUCUGUCCUUCUUUCUUUCUCUCUUUGGUUUCGCGUGCGGCUGCCAGAGCGCUGCUCGCAGAUCCCUUUCGUCCUUUGUCUCGCGCGUCCCGCUGGCUCUCGCGUUCCGUUUCGUUCCGUGCGUUACCACCGCAAGAAGAGAGAAGAAAGGAAGAAUUCUCGACGAUAACGUUUUUUUGCUUUCUUUUUUUUCUUUUUCUUUAUUCCCUCCUCGCCGGGUAUCCUUUUAGCCGCGUCGCGUAUCGCGUGCUCUCGGAGACCUUGAACUUGCUACCGAGUCGUCCUCGCAGCCGUCGUGCGCGUCGUCUCCUUUCCACGCGCUACUUUGUCUCUCGGCCCAGCGUUUUCGUCGAAAGGAAAGGAGAGAAGGAACUAGAGCGAAAAAAAAGCUACGCGAGAGAUAACGAUCGUUAUCGUGAUACACCGCGAUAUCUGGAUACUUGGAGAAACGGAGAGGGAGAGGGAGAGAGAGAGAGAAAGAGAGAAAGAGAGAGAAAAGCCGAACGCAAGCCAGGGAUCCUGGAAGUUAAGAAGAGUCAGGAUGUUUCCUUACACGACCUUCCCGGCAGUCGGGAUGCAGGUACGAAAUCUGGUUGUCGGACCUGGUGAAGUGACUAUGGACCACCGGGUGCGGGCGCGAACGGUGGACCAACGGUGACCAAGACACGGUGUAUUGUCUAUUGAAAGGAAAGAAGUAAUGUCAAUCCGGUUGGUCUGGUCGUCGUCGAUGGUGUGCGGUAUAGUAGCCCGAAGAGGGACCAUGUUGGAUCUCAAGAUGGCGCAGAACCAGAGAAGCUUAUUUAUUAAGGGUGUCGACGACGACGACGGCGAUG